rnacentral:misc_RNA from 1 species
CCUCGCCUCGCCUCUCGCCUAAGGGCAUAAUUUCCCGUCACCUUAGAGUUGCCUUUCGCCUUAACACCACCGACGCACAACAGUAGUUCACCAGUUGGUGCAGCUUAGAUCAAUUUAAAAUUAGUGUGUUAUAGUUGUCUAAUUUAUUUUAAGAUGGGUUAUUAAUAAUUGGCAUACCAGGCAGAGCACUUUUAUGUGUAAUAUUUUGGUUAGAUAAGAUGGUGAAACUUGACACAAGGAUUAAUAGGUAAGGAUUAAUAGGUAAUACAUUACAUUGUUUAACAAUGGGGUACCUGAAUCCCAACUUAGACUUCAAUUACUUUAUUUUUCCCCCCUUCCCUUUUUCCGGUGCUCAUGUAUCAAUCUUUUCACACCUAAAAUCCUUUAGUCCAGUAAUCCAUUUGGAAUAUAUGACCUAUCAUUGUAAAGUCCUCACAGCUGUUUACAAAUUUUAACUAAUUUUAAUAACAAAAUCCUGAACUUUGCACCUUUUUUUAUCAAUAUAUCAUUUUCUUUUAAUUUUAUAAAUUUUAACCUUAACUAUAACUUUGGUACAGUUUUAUCCAAUUUAGUGAGUUAGAAUCAAAUGCAUAUGCAAAACUAUAAAACUGCCUAAAGUUAAAAAUAUAUGAUUUCUAUUCCUUUCCGAUAUUAAUAACAACUGUUGAUAAAUGAACCGAGCCUAAUUUCACCCAAAAGGCACCUUGUGAGGGGAGGAUUACCCAAGUCAUAUAUGAAGCCUAUUUGCCUUAUUCCUGGUCAAUGAUAGACAACACUAGGGGUGAGUAGUUUUUGGUUAUAACUGAAAAAAUAAACCGAAUCAAAUAGAACCAAUUCAGUAUUUUUGUUCAAUUAUUCGGCUCAAUCGGUUCGGUUAUCAAUUUCUAAUAAUUUUGGCUUUCGGUUCGGUUUGGAUUUUUUUUUUAUAACUGAAGAAACCAAAAAUUACAGGCCUGUAGGCCUUCUCCUUCUCCAGGCUAGGCCCAAGAGAAAAUUCUUAUCCAACUCCAAGCCCAGACCCUUUAGGCCUAUUCACUUUCUGUCUUUGAACCCUAAAUUUCUUCUCCCUGCCGGCAUUCUCUCAAUAUUUUCUACUCUCUUCUCUACUCUACUAUUGUGUGCUGUCCUCAUCAUCGCCUUGCAGCCUCCCUCUUGCUCAUUUUGACGUCAUUACUGUCGUCCCUUCACCCCCACUCCAGUAAACCAUUAAGUUACUUCACCAUCGGUUAACAGUCUAGGCACUUGACAUCUCUUCUCUGUUGACUGUCGAAGUCCAUAGCACUUAUGGGCUGCAUGGCUGCAUUUGUGAUUGCAUUUGUGUCUCCACUGUCUACGGUUUUCUUCUGCAUUUUUGAGCUGUG